UUCCCCUUUAGCCAAGCGGUUCAAGGCAGUGGGAUUAUGUCCUGCGAAUCGGAAGUUCGAAUCUUCCAAGGGGUGCAAA
rnacentral:tRNA from 1 species